rnacentral:rRNA from 1 species
CCUACGGGUGGCAGCAGUGAGGAAUAUUGGUCAAUGGGCGCGAGCCUGAACCAGCCAAGUAGCGUGAAGUAUGACUGCCCUACGGGUUGUAAACUUCUUUUAUAAAGGAAUAAAGUGAGGCACGUGUGCCUUUUUGUAUGUACUUUAUGAAUAAGGAUCGGCUAACUCCGUGCCAGCAGCCGCGGUAAUACGGAGGAUCCGAGCGUUAUCCGGAUUUCUUGGGUUUAAAGGGAGCGUAGAUGGGUUGUUAAGUCAGUUGUGAAAGGUUGCGGCUCAACCGUAAAAUUGCAAUUGUUACUGGCAGCCGUGAGGACAGUUGAGGUAGGCGGAAUUCGUGGUGGAGCGGUGAAAUGCUUAGAUAUCACGAAGAACUCCGAUUGCGAAGGCAGCUUAAUAAACUGCCACUGACAUUGAUGCUCGAAAGUGUGGGUAUAAAACAGGAUUAGAUACCCCGGUAGUC